rnacentral:rRNA from 1 species
AUACGGAGGGUGCAAGCGUUGCUCGGAAUUACUGGGCGUAAAGCGGGCGCAGGCGGUCUGUGCAAGUCAGGUGUGAAAGCCCGGGGCUCAACCCCGGAACUGCAUCUGAAACUGCCAGACUUGAGUCAAGGAGAGGGUAGCGGAAUUCCUGGUGUAGAGGUGAAAUUCGUAGAUAUCAGGAGGAACAUCUGUGGCGAAGGCGGCUACCUGGCCUUGUACUGACGCUCAUGCCCGAAAGCGUGGGGAGCAAACAGGAUUAGAUACCCUGGUAGUCCACGCCGUAAACGAUGAGUGCUAGUUGUUGGUCUAUAUACCGGAUCAGUGACGCAGUUAACGCAAUAAGCACUCCGCCUGGGGAGUACGGCCGCAAGGCUAAA